rnacentral:rRNA from 1 species
GACGAACGCUGGCGGCGUGCUUAACACAUGCAAGUCGAACGCUGAAGCCUGGUCUUUGACUGGGUGGAGGAGUGGCGAACGGGUGAGUAACACGUGGGUAACCUGUCCCGUACUGUGGGAUAAGCCCUGGAAACGGGGUCUAAUACCGCAUAGGACACUUCAUCGCAUGGUGGGGUGUGGAAAGGUUUUUCCGGUAUGGGGUGGGCCCGCGGCCUAUCAGCUUGUUGGUGGGGUGAUGGCCUACCAAGGCGAUGACGGGUAGCCGGCCUGAGAGGGCGACCGGCCACACUGGGACUGAGACACGGCCCAGACUCCUACGGGAGGCAGCAGUGGGGAAUAUUGCACAAUGGGCGCAAGCCUGAUGCAGCGACGCCGCGUGAGGGAUGACGGCCUUCGGGUUGUAAACCUCUUUCGACCCCGACGAAGCGAGAGUGACGGUAGGGGUAGAAGAAGCACCGGCUGACUAC